rnacentral:rRNA from 1 species
CAAGUACCCGUGAGGGAAAGUUGAAAAGAACUUUGAAGAGAGAGUUCAAUAGUACGUGAAACCGUUUAGAGGUAAACGGAUGGGACCGCAAGGCUCCCCUUGGAAUUCAACCUUUCGGUCGCAGGUCGGCGGCGCGUCGCGAUCCUCCGGACGGGCGCGUCGUCGAGCCGGCGUCGUUGGGCGCACUUUCCUCGGGACUAUCGUCAGGACAGGUUCGUGUGGUGGCCAGAAGCCGCCGGGGGCAAGGUAGCCGUCUCCGGACGGUGCUUAGGCCCUUGCGGUGGGUUGCACCCGCGGGCCGAGGAACGCCCGCCGUGGCACGGGCCCCUCUCCCUCACUGGCGAGUCGACUUGUGUGGACUGUUUGCAGUGCUCGCAGACCGCCGGCGGUGCAGCGGGAGGGAUCACCUGUGUCAGCACCCAGGGUCCCUGGCUAAUCGGUCGGCACCCCAUCCGACCCGUCUUGAAACACGGACCAAGGAGUCUAACAUGUGCGCGAGUCACUGGGCGGCAAACCCAAGGGCGCAAUGAAAGUGAAGUCCGGCCCCGGUCGGACCAGGUAGGAUCCCCAUCCAAAAGGACGGGGCGCACUACCGGCCCGUCUUGAUCUCUCGUAGGUGAGGCGGAGCAGGAGCGUACACGUUGGGACCCGAAAGA